GGGUCCGUGCUGUGCUCCCUCAUCUCCUCUCCGUGAGUGCCGUGUUUGUUCUGUACACCCUGCUGCUGGUCAGUAUGGUCAGAACCCUGCGAGGAAUGAAGAGGAACCCCGUACCAGGAGAGCUCUGUCCCUGACAGGUGUGUUCCCAAUCAGCAGAGAAACACCCCACGGGCAUCUCAGUUACCUCCUCCGCAGGAGGGGCAGAUAAGUGGUGGGACAAAUGCUGUGGGGCAGAAUACUUUUGUCUUAUGGUGUUCCGGAAACAAGAGGUCGUCCCUCCCCACCCUCCACUCUGCUUUCCACUGCAAAUAAAGUCAAAAUUAUCUUC